rnacentral:lncRNA from 1 species
CCCUGAGCCGGAGUGGGGUGAGACAGCAGCUUCGUCUUGUCUCUUCCUUGUGCUGUCCAUGCAGCACCUCACAUUCAAUAAGCAUGUUCUAUAAGCCAGACAAUGUUCUGCCUUUAUUACUUAUUGGCUAUUCUUGUGUGGGUCUUGGCAGCAAUCACCUGUACUCUCUGAGCUAUGUCACUGACCCAGUUUCUAAUCUCCUGUAUUGCCUUUUUUAAUCCUUCUCUUGCCCCUUCCACAGAUGAGAAGACUGAGGACCAGGAGGACCAGGAACUUAACCUAACAGGUGGGAGAGACACAUAUGAAUCAACAGUUCAUGGACAGAGGAAAUGAGAGGUGGAGCCAGAACCCUCCUGGCCACUAUUCAUUGACAGGAGUGAGAGCUGCCACUUGGGGCCUCGGGAGACCCCAUACUUCCUCUCAGAGCAGCAUCUCCGUGGACAGAGCAGGCUGGCCCCGCAGCUGCAACAGGGAGCCUGCAAAACACCUUCAAACAAGUCAGAAGAGAGGACUAGUUACUAAUGCAUUAGCAAACUGUGCCCUUCCCCCAGCCUUGAGCAGGCUGCUCAGACCUGGCUUGCCAAAGUUGCUAGCCCACCUCGGGUGGAGUCUUUGACCUAGGUACAGUCUAUUGUCCUGCCACAUCUGCAGCUUUCCUCCAAGAUGCCACUACCUGCUGAGAGGCUGAACCUGUUUUCCUGACACUAUCCAGACAAAGCAGUGACCCUGACAAAGCACCCAGAUCCUGGCUUGGUGGGGGAUGGGAUCCCCCUCCCCCCUACAAGCUCAGACUCAUAAGUAAACACUGGCCUUGAUCAGACUUGGCUCGUUAUUUCUCUCGCAGCCUUUCCCAUCCUAAACCUCAUCUUUCCUUUCAGGAACCCAGUAACCCGUGGCUGCUGGCAGCUACAGAUGGCUCUCGACGAGUGGCCUAAAAGCAGAAAGAAGGACUAAGGGGUACACUGUCUUGGUGGGGCUCCACAGAAAACAGAAGAUGUAUCCUGCAUGAGAUUCAGACUUUGAUGAACAAAAAGACAAACAGGAACAGUGGUAAAAGCUCAAGACCUCCGAUUCACCGAUUCACUGCUCCAUUGUGUUCCCACAGGAGUCACUUCCUGGCCAAUGCACCAAAUGUAAGACUCCAGGGAGCCUUAGCUUACUGGGGACCCCCUGAGUGAACCACAUGGAGCAAGAAUUGAUGCAAAAAGCAAGAGAAAUUUAUUGUUCCAGUGCAUUGAGAUCGUCCCAGAUCCGAAGGAGAGGCAGUGACCACCAGCACCCAGUUGGCGAGUUUUUAUAUUGUUUUUCAGGGGCAGAAUAGAGCAUCAGCAACUAGGCACAGUACGAUUGGUAGAACAGUGCACCCUUCAAACUGAUUGGUCUUUAAGGAAUGAGGUAACAAGGAUUUCCCUUGUCUGAAGGUGAGCAACAGUCAGUCCUGCUGAAUGUGUCCCACCCACAGGUGGGUUCCCACCCUGUGGUCUGAGAAAUGUUAAUUAGCCUUUCCCUUCCAGAGAGGCAAGUGUUUCAUGAUCUUCCCAAAGUUCCUAAGCUGACCUUUUCAAUUACAAGAGUAAUCAUCUUAUGAGAGUGCUAAUC